rnacentral:rRNA from 1 species
GACGAACGCUGGCGGCGUGCUUAAUACAUGCAAGUCGAGCGAAUGGAUUAAGAGCUUGCUCUUAUGAAGUUAGCGGCGGACGGGUGAGUAACGCGUGGGUAACCUGCCCAUAAGACUGGGAUAACUCCGGGAAACCGGGGCUGAUACCGGAUAAUAUUUUGAACUGCAUGGUUCAAAAUUGAAAGGCGGCUUCGGCUGUCACUUAUGGAUGGACCCGCGUCGCAUUAGCUAGUUGGUGAGGUAACGGCUCACCAAGGCAACGAUGCGUAGCCGACCGGAGAGGGUGAUCGGCCACACUGGGACUGAGACACGGCCCAGACUCCUACGGGAGGCAGCAGUAGGGAAUCUUCCGCAAUGGACGAAAGUCUGACGGAGCAACGCCGCGUGAGUGAUGAAGGCUUUCGGGUCGUAAAACUCUGUUGUUAGGGAAGAACAAGUGCUAGUUGAAUAAGCUGGCACCUUGACGGUACCUAACCAGAAAGCCACGGCUAACUACGAGCCAGCCGCCGCCGUAA